rnacentral:rRNA from 1 species
CACGAAGUGAGUGGCGAACGGGUGAGUAACACGUGGGUAACCUGCCCAGAAGUAGGGGAUAACACCUGGAAACAGAUGCUAAUACCGUAUAACAGAGAAAACCGCAUGGUUUUCUUUUAAAAGAUGGCUCUGCUAUCACUUCUGGAUGGACCCGCGGCGUAUUAGCUAGUUGGUGAGGUAAAGGCUCACCAAGGCAGUGAUACGUAGCCGACCUGAGAGGGUAAUCGGCCACAUUGGGACUGAGACACGGCCCAACUCCUACGGGAGGCA